CCGAAGUGCAGCAACAACCAGUCGGGCCGGGCCGGGAUGGUGCAGCGGCGGCUCCGCGGCGCGCGCACGCACUGAGUGGGCCCAAGCUGGGCCCGGCGCCCCCCGCGCCCCCCGCCGCCCCGAUCCCGGCCGGCAUGAUGUGCCUGGAAUGCGCCUCGGCGGCGGCGGGCGGCGCGGAGGAGGAGGAGGCGGACGCGGAGCGGCGGCGCCGGCGCCGGGGGGCGCAGCUCGGGGCUGGCGGUGGAGGUUGCUGCGGGACUCGGGGUGCGGGCGCCUCUGGAGUCGCGGCCGUGGACGAUGAGGUGCAGACACUGUCGGGCAGCGUGAGGCGGGCUCCGUCCGGACCCCCCAGCAGCCCCAGCACCCCCAGCUGCGCAGCUACUGCCAAAGGCCCCGGCGCUCAGCAACCCAAACCCGCCAGCUUGGGCGGCGGGCGAGGGGCAGCCGCCGCCAUCCUCAGCCUGGGCAACGUGCUCAAUUACCUGGACAGGUACACCGUAGCAGGCGUCCUUCUGGACAUCCAGCAGCACUUCGGGGUGAAGGACCGAGGCGCCGGCUUGCUGCAGUCAGUGUUCAUCUGCAGCUUCAUGGUGGCUGCCCCCAUCUUUGGCUACCUGGGGGACCGGUUCAACAGGAAGGUCAUCCUGAGCUGCGGCAUCUUCUUCUGGUCGGCCGUCACCUUUUCCAGCUCCUUCAUCCCCCAACAGCAUUUCUGGCUGCUGGUCCUGUCCCGGGGGCUGGUGGGCAUCGGCGAGGCCAGCUACUCCACCAUCGCACCCACCAUCAUCGGCGACCUCUUCACCAAGAACACACGCACGCUCAUGCUGUCAGUCUUCUACUUCGCCAUCCCGCUGGGCAGUGGCCUGGGCUACAUCACGGGCUCCAGCGUGAAGCAGGCAGUUGGAGACUGGCACUGGGCCUUACGGGUGUCUCCCAUCCUGGGCAUGAUCACAGGAACACUCAUCCUUGUCCUGGUCCCGGCCACUAAGAGAGGCCAUGCUGACCAACUCGGGGGGCAGCUCAAGGCCCGGACCUCAUGGCUUCGAGACAUGAAGGCCCUGAUCCGCAACCGCAGCUACGUCUUCUCCUCCCUGGCCACGUCGGCAGUGUCCUUCGCCACGGGGGCCCUGGGCAUGUGGAUUCCUCUCUACCUGCACCGCGCUCAGGUCGUGCAGAAGACGGUGGAGACGUGCAGCAGCCCGCCCUGCGGGGCCAAGGACAGUCUCAUCUUCGGGGCCAUCACCUGCUUCACCGGUUUCCUGGGUGUGGUCACGGGGGCAGGAGCCACACGCUGGUGCCGCCUACGGACGCAGCGGGCCGACCCUCUGGUGUGCGCGGUGGGCAUGCUGGGAUCCGCCAUCUUCAUCUGCCUCAUCUUCGUGGCUGCCAAGAGCAGCAUUGUUGGGGCCUAUAUCUGUAUCUUUGUCGGGGAGACGCUGCUGUUUUCUAACUGGGCCAUCACCGCCGACAUCCUCAUGUAUGUGGUCAUUCCCACGAGGCGGGCCACCGCAGUGGCCCUGCAGAGCUUCACCUCCCACCUGCUGGGGGACGCUGGAAGCCCCUACCUCAUCGGCUUCAUCUCCGAUGUGAUCCGCCAGAGCACCAAGGACUCCCCGCUGUGGGAGUUCCUGAGCCUGGGCUACGCACUCAUGCUGUGUCCCUUCGUGGUGGUGCUGGGCGGCAUGUUCUUCCUGGCCACGGCGCUCUUCUUUCUCGGCGACCGCGCUAGGGCGGAGCAGCAGUCCCUGCCCAGCACUUCCGGUCAGCUGGCCCCUGCGAUGCGAUGUGCCAGAGCCGUGCCCGGGCCCGGCCCCCGGUGAUCCGCCACCUUGACCCCCGUCCGUCUCUCCCCCAGGGUGAACCAGCUGGUGAUACCGCCCACAUCCGUGAAAGUCUAAGGCGGUGCCGCUGGGACCAUGAAGAACCCGCUCUGCUGCCCAGGCUGGGAGGUGCCCAGCAGCUGGCCAGUCCUGCUGGACUGUGCCAGAGCUUCCUGUGUGACCC